GGGAUUGCCCUAGUAACGGCGAGUGAAGCGGCAACAGCUCAAAUUUGAAAUCUGGCUCUCGGGCCCGAGUUGUAAUUUGUAGAGGAUACUUUUGAUGCGGUGCCUUCCGAGUUCCCUGGAACGGGACGCCAUAGAGGGUGAGAGCCCCGUCUGGUUGGAUGCCAAAUCUCUGUAAAGUUCCUUCAACGAGUCGAGUAGUUUGGGAAUGCUGCUCUAAAUGGGAGGUAUAUGUCUUCUAAAGCUAAAUACCGGCCAGAGACCGAUAGCGCACAAGUAGAGUGAUCGAAAGAUGAAAAGCACUUUGAAAAGAGAGUUAAAAAGUACGUGAAAUUGUUGAAAGGGAAGCGUUUAUGACCAGACUUGGGCUUGGUUAAUCAUCUGGGGUUCUCCCCAGUGCACUUUUCCAGUCCAGGCCAGCAUCAGUUUUCCCCGGGGGAUAAAGGCGGCGGGAAUGUGGCUCUCUUCGGGGAGUGUUAUAGCCCACCGUGUAAUACCCUGGGGGGGACUGAGGUUCGCGCAUCUGCAAGGAUGCUGGCGUAAUGGUCAUCAACGACCCGUCUUGAAACACGGACCAAGGAGUCGUCUUCGUAUGCGAGUGUUCGGGUGUCAAACCCCUACGCGUAAUGAAAGUGAACGCAGGUGAGAGCUUCGGCGCAUCAUCGACCGAUCCUGAUGUUCUCGGAUGGAUUUGAGUAAGAGCAUACGGGGCCGGACCCGAAAGAAGGUGAACUAUGCCUGUAUAGGGUGAAGCCAGAGGAAACUCUGGUGGAGGCUCGCAGCGGUUCUGACGUGCAAAUCGAUCGUCAAAUAUGGGCAUGGGGGC
rnacentral:rRNA from 1 species